GCGUGAGUGAAGAAGGCCCUAGGGUUGUAAAGCUCUUUCAGCGGGGAAGAUAAUGACGGUACCCGCAGAAGAAGCCCCGGCUAACUCCGUGCCAGCAGCCGCGGUAAUACGGAGGGGGCUAGCGUUGUUCGGAAUUACUGGGCGUAAAGCGCGCGUAGGCGGCGGUCCAAGUCAGGCGUGAAAGCCCGGGGCUCAACCCCGGAAUUGCGCUUGAUACUGUUCCGCUCGAGUCCGGGAGAGGGUAGUGGAAUUCCCAGUGUAGAGGUGAAAUUCGU
rnacentral:rRNA from 1 species